CUACACUUCACGUGACUGCAUUUCUUGAGUGUAGUCAACUCCGUGACUUCACCUCAACACCCAGCUCUCUCUACUUCUCUGCACACUCCCCUGUGGAUUCUGUAUUUCUAAUGGGAGUGUGGAGGGGAGCAUUUUUGACUUCAUGAUUUCUUUUCCUGUCUCCCUUUCUCCUCGCUGUCUCUCCUUCUUGGCAGCGGGGCAAAAGUGGGCAGGCAGAGAGGAGGGCAUGGCCCAGAAACUGCUCUCAAGCCCCAGCCCCUGUUCGAGUGGGGUUCCUUGCUGGUGUACUACUCAGCCUUUCCCUCGUCUUGCAGGCGAAAGAAAGGGAUGUGGAUGCAUUCUUGUCUCCUUUCUAACCCGCCGUUUUUUUGGGGGGGUUUCCACCAUGGCCUUCUUUUGCGGGCCUGACCCGAACUAAAAAAAGUAACCUCCAGUUUGACUGAUGCGUUUCCACUGCUGCCUGCAUACAUCUCUGUCCUUAAGGCUGAGGAGACAGGCUGAGCUGCUGCGAUGCACACGAGGAGCUCCAUGGAUGAAGGAACUCAAGAACCAAGUACUCAACUCUGCUUUGUCUGUGAUCUCUUCAGGGGAGACUUUACUUUAAAGCUGCAGGUUUGGAACAUGUUCAUAAUUAAGCACGUAUUGAGUGAGAACUCAUGUUUCAAGAUGCUGUGCUUGAAGUUGAGCCUAGCAAGGUGAGGUAGUAGGUUGUAUAGUUUAUGGGAUGGAGUCAAUCCUACUCAGGCGUUAACUAUACAGUCUAUUACCUUCCUUGAGAGGUACAAUGUGUGCUUGGGCGGAAGCUACUGCUCUUAUGGCGAAGGAGCCACUCUGGUGCCACCUAGUGGCUAAAGACUAUCCUCACCCUGGAAAUGAUCUGAGCUUCCUCUCUGUUGUGUGUACGAGGAGAUGUUUUCUGAAAUCAACCUGAAGAUGAAAGUAUCUAUUAGUCCUUUUGAUCUAAGAGGAAGUUGUUAGGCAUUUCAGCACUAGAAGUAGAUCCUGAGAGAUGUUGGAAGACCAGAAGACACAAACACAAACUCACGGUCUGUAUUCUUUUGUGUAAACAGAACAAUAAAGAACAUAUUUAAUGGCCGUUUCAAUUUUCUCAACAAUAAAUCAAAACAACCCAUAACUACGGAGUCGACUGAUGGAAUAAAAUCUAUGUGGUUGAUGUUUGCAGUCUCACAAUCAUUUGUCAAAUCCAAUACAUUCAAUAAUCUGCAACAACUACAAUAAACCCAAAUAAGAAGGUAGUUGAUAACUGCUGAAUUAAAUCACUGACAUAUGGUGAAGUACAACUGAAUUUGUUUGCAGUAAAAAUAUCACAUGCUGACAGUAUUUGGUGCCUCAAACAAAAUCCAAUGUUUUCAUUUGUUUCACAUAUGAAUUAAGAUGCAGUUUAUAAAAUACCAAUUUGAAAUCA